ensembl:lncRNA
UAAGAAACUCCUUUCUGAUGCAUAAUUUUCCGAAAUAUUGAAAAUCCUUCUGGAUAUCAAAAUUUGUAUCUUUCAUGAUCUUUACAUGAAGAGGGACAAAUGACUACAGAAGCAAGAAUGUUUAAUUGUGAAGGUCAUUUUGUCUGAGUAAGAGCUGCAGCACUCUGCUGUCAAGCAAAAUAUUUUGAAGGACUGUAAAUGGACUUAAAUUGUUCUGGAGACAUCUUCCUUUUUAUUUUUCAAAGCAUUUCCUGUCUAAAGACUAACAUGGCCAAUGACAUAUAACACAAUCAUGUUUAUGAACUCUCGCCCAAAUGUCCAACUCACUGCAGUCCUCGUAGGCCUAAUGCACCCUGGCCCUGAUAUGGUUCCCUGCUAGGCUGGGACAAGCCCAGUGCUGCUGCAGGCUGGCUGGAAACCUGUGUGCCUCCCUGAUGAAAGCACAGAGAUCAAGUAUACACUGAGGAAUUAUGUGGGGGUCCUCCUGAUCUCUGCAGCAUGAAUGUCCUGAGCAGUCCUGGUCCUGGAAGAACUGCAGUAGAUACAGAGAAGAGCAAUAAGGAUGAUCAAAGGAGUACCAAUAAUGCCAAAGAUGCUACACUAUAAACGAUCGAAUUUUACUGAGAAGCUCUGGAGCACGUCACAAAACAAAGAAAAGAAAACAUGGUGAGAUAGUCUUGUUGAUGGGAAGUUCCUUCACAGCACUGAUUAUUUCCUUUAGAAAAUCUGCUUUUUACAGAUGACUGGAAGCAUGAAUGACAGUGACAGGAAGCAUGUGGAAAAAUGAUGAGCUUAAGGCUUCCACAGACAUCUAAGGCUAUGGAAGUAACCAUACCAGACGAAAACCACAGAUCCUUCUGGCCCAGCUCCUCAUCUCUGACAGUAACCAAGAAUGAAUCCAAGGAAGUAUAUAUGAACACAGUAUAUGAAUCGGCACUUUUUUAGUGAGCUCAGACAGCCUACAGCAAUCCUUGGCACAGGAACUUCCUGAGAAAAAAUGUGACGUGCUUCCGUCUUACAGCAGAGUGCAAGCUGAGAGUUAUAACACGGAAAUUUUGUGACAUUAUAUGCAUAUAUGACCAACAAGAAGUAUUUUUCUGUGGAACCAUGCAAAACACAUGAUUUAUCUGAGUGAACCUACAUGAUUCUAAAAUUUAAAUAUCUUCCAGUCUUUGUACAUUUCAUAUUGUGUUUAAAAAUAGGAUUUAUUUUUAAGACAACGCCACUUUUCUUUAACUUAGUAGUAACACAAUUAGCAAAAUAAAUGAUUUUAAAAGAUAAAUGCUAAUUAAAGUGAAAUCUACUAUAGUUACUACAUUUGAAUUCUGUGUAUCUGAC